CUAGCUACAGGCUUAACACAUGCAAGUCGAGGGGCAUCAGGAAGAAAGCUUGCUUUCUUUGCUGGCGACCGGCGCACGGGUGAGUAACACGUAUCCAACCUGCCCUUUACUCGGGGAUAGCCUUUCGAAAGAAAGAUUAAUACCCGAUAGCAUAAUGAUUCCGCAUGGUUUCAUUAUUAAAGGAUUCCGGUAAAGGAUGGGGAUGCGUUCCAUUAGGUUGUUGGUGAGGUAACGGCCCACCAAGCCUUCGAUGGAUAGGGGUUCUGAGAGGAAGGUCCCCCACAUUGGAACUGAGACACGGUCCAAACUCCUACGGGAGGCAGCAGUGAGGAAUAUUGGUCAAUGGGCGCUAGCCUGAACCAGCCAAGUAGCGUGAAGGAUGAAGGCUCUAUGGGUCGUAAACUUCUUUUAUAUAAGAAUAAAGUGCAGUAUGUAUACUGUUUUGUAUGUAUUAUAUGAAUAAGGAUCGGCUAACUCCGUGCCAGCAGCCGCGGUAAUACGGAGGAUCCGAGCGUUAUCCGGAUUUAUUGGGUUUAAAGGGAGCGUAGGUGGACUGGUAAGUCAGUUGUGAAAGUUUGCGGCUCAACCGUAAAAUUGCAGUUGAUACUGUCAGUCUUGAGUACAGUAGAGGUGGGCGGAAUUCGUGGUGUAGCGGUGAAAUGCUUAGAUAUCACGAAGGACUCCGAUUGCGAAGGCAGCUCACUGGACUGCAACUGACACUGAUGCUCGAAAGUGUGGGUAUCAAACAGGAUUAGAUACCCUGGUAGUCCACACAGUAAACGAUGAAUACUCGCUGUUUGCGAUAUACAGUAAGCGGCCAAGCGAAAGCAUUAAGUAUUCCACCUGGGGAGUACGCCGGCAACGGUGAAACUCAAAGGAAUUGACGGGGGCCCGCACAAGCGGAGGAACAUGUGGUUUAAUUCGAUGAUACGCGAGGAACCUUACCCGGGCUUAAAUUGCAGUGGAAUGAUGUGGAAACAUGUCAGUGAGCAAUCACCGCUGUGAAGGUGCUGCAUGGUUGUCGUCAGCUCGUGCCGUGAGGUGUCGGCUUAAGUGCCAUAACGAGCGCAACCCUUAUCUUUAGUUACUAACAGGUUAUGCUGAGGACUCUAGAGAGACUGCCGUCGUAAGAUGUGAGGAAGGUGGGGAUGACGUCAAAUCAGCACGGCCCUUACGUCCGGGGCUACACACGUGUUACAAGGGGGGGUACAGAAGGCAGCUAGCGGGUGACCGUAUGCUAAUCCCAAAAUCCUCUCUCAGUUCGGAUCGAAGUCUGCAACCCGACUUCGUGAAGCUGGAUUCGCUAGUAAUCGCGCAUCAGCCACGGCGCGGUGAAUACGUUCCCGGGCCUUGUACACACCGCCCGUCAAGCCAUGGGAGCCGGGGGUACCUGAAGUACGUAACCGCAAGGAUCGUCCUAGGGUAAAACUGGUGACUGG
rnacentral:rRNA from 1 species